GUUUGUCCCGCGUACCCGGCAUGGGGUCUUGAGCUCCGUAAGGGAGGAAUCAGCCUCCAGCUGCAGCAGGGUGUGCUUGCAAGUGCUUGCUUGUGUGUGGCAGGGCAGCAAUAAUCCUGCUCUGUUCUUUCCAUGUAAAUGCAAAGAAAUAUACUUUGCUGUUUCUACGUGGCGAUUUUAAAUUGUGCAGGGUCACAAGGCAGUGAAAGGCAGUGUAUGCAUGCCCAGGCAUUAAUGAAGAGUCUAGUCCAUUGUAUUUUAUUGAAAGCCCAAGCGAAGUUUCGCCUUGUUAAGGCUUUGUUUUUCUUUGCAUCCGCGUUCUAUUUACCCGUCCCAGCAAUGGUGUCAGUGCUGGUCCCCACGGUUGCUGACUGUGGGGAGAUGCUUGGCUGGCCUUGGGGAGCAGGGAGAGGCGUAUCUCAGCCUGAAGGAGGUUAGAACUUCUAGAUUCUUCUUUGGCAAGAAAGAUGGCAAUGAUGCACCACUUUUCUUCAGUGAUUCUUGUCUGGCUGGCAAUGUAACAGUCCUGUCUUGUCCAUCAUUUUCCACAGUUUUGGUGGAAUUUCCCCUGACUUCAUGAGCAGAAGUGGCUGUAAAUGUGGCUGAGGAAAGCAUGUCUUUGAUAAACUCAAAAAGGCAACUUUUAAAUAUUUUUUAACAUUAUUUAUUGAAAAAAAAAUAAAAACCCAACUAAAUAAAGC
rnacentral:lncRNA from 1 species